rnacentral:rRNA from 1 species
GAUGAACGCUGGCGGCGUGCCUAAUACAUGCAAGUCGAGCGAACAGACGAGGAGCUUGCUCCUCUGACGUUAGCGGCGGACGGGUGAGUAACACGUGGAUAACCUACCUAUAAGACUGGGAGAACUUCGUGAAACCGGAGCUAAUACCGGAUAAUAUAUUGAACCGCAUGGUUCAAUACUGAAAGACGGUUUUGCUGUCACUUAUAGAUGGAUCCGCGCCGCAUUAGCUAGUUUGUAAGGUAACGGCUUACCAAGGCGACGAUGCGUAGCCGACCUGAGAGGGUGAUCGGCCACACUGGAACUGAGACACGGUCCAGACUCCUACGGGAGGCAGCAGUAGGGAAUUUUGCGCAAUGGGCGAAAGCUUGACGGAGCAACGCCGCGUGAGUGAUGAAGGUCUUCGGAUCGUAAACCUCUGUUAUUAGGGAAGAAAAAAUGUGUAAGUAAAUAUGCACGUCUUGACGGUACCUAAUCAGAAAGCAACGGCUAACUACGUG